rnacentral:rRNA from 1 species
GACUACAGGUGGCAGCAGUCGAGAAUCAUUCACAAUGGGGGAAACCCUGAUGGUGCGACGCCGCGUGGGCGAAGAAGUAUUUCGGUAUGUAAAGCCCUAUCAGCAGGGAAGAAGAAAUGACGGUACCUGAGUAAGAAGCACCGGCUAAAUACGUGCCAGCAGCCGCGGUAAUACGUAUGGUGCAAGCGUUAUCCGGAUUUACUGGGUGUAAAGGGAGCGCAGGCGGCACGGCAAGCCUGAUGUGAAAGCCCGCGGUCCAACCGCGGGACUGCAUUGGGAACUACCUGGCUGGAGUGCCGGAGAGGUAGGCGGAAUUCCUAGUGUAGCGGUGAAAUGCGUAGAUAUUAGGAGGAACACCAGUGGCGAAGGCGGCCUACUGGACGGUGACUGACGCUGAGGCUCGAAAGCGUGGGGAGCAAACAGGAUUAGAUACCCUGGUAGUC